UGAUUUAUGAUGAUGAGUUACUUUUGUAUAUCUUAGCAGGUCUGAGCCAAGACUAUGAUCCCAUUAUGGUAAACAUUACCUCCUCCCGAGACUCUGUUUCUCUCUAGGAAGUUCAUUUCCUACUUCAGAGCCAUGAGA